rnacentral:rRNA from 1 species
UACGUAGGGUGCGAGCGUUAAUCGGAAUUAUUGGGCGUAAAGCGCGCGCAGGCGGCCUCUUAAGUCUGAUGUGAAAGCCCACGGCUCAACCGUGGAGGGUCAUUGGAAACUGGGGGGCUUGAGUGCAGAAGAGGAGAGCGGAAUUCCACGUGUAGCGGUGAAAUGCGUAGAGAUGUGGAGGAACACCAGUGGCGAAGGCGGCUCUCUGGUCUGUAACUGACGCUGAGGCGCGAAAGCGUGGGGAGCGAACAGG